rnacentral:rRNA from 1 species
AGUGAACGCUGGCGGCGUGCUUAACACAUGCAAGUCGAACGGAUUAAAGAAGCUUGCUUUUUAGUUAGUGGCGCACGGGUGAGUAAUAUAUAGCUAACCUGCCCUUUAGUGGGGGACAACAGUUGGAAACGACUGCUAAUACCCCAUACUCCUUCUUGCCAAAAGGUGAGUCGGGAAAGAUUUAUCGCUAAAGGAGUGGGGCUUUAUUGUAUCAGCUAGUUGGUGGGGUAAUGGCCUACCAAGGCUUUGACGCAUACCUGGUCUGAGAGGAUGAUCAGGCACACUGGAACUGAGACACGGUCCAGACUCCUACGGGAGGCAGCAGUGGGGAAUAUUGCACAAUGGAGGAAACUCUGAUGCAGCAACGCCGCGUGGAGGAUGACGCAUUUCGGUGUGUAAACUCCUUUUAUAGGGGAAGAUAAUGACGGUACCCUAUGAAUAAGCACCGGCUAACUCCGUG